GGGGAGAUGAGCUAACCUGGUAUGCUGUCAGCUUUGGGAGCUGGUUGUCUGAGUUCAAAUCUCAGUCUCCCCA
rnacentral:tRNA from 1 species